rnacentral:rRNA from 1 species
UACGUAGGGUGCGAGCGUUAAUCGGAAUUACUGGGCGUAAAGCGUGCGCAGGCGGUUCGUUAAGUCAGUUGUGAAAGCCCCGAGCUCAACUUGGGAAUUGCGGUUGAAACUGGCGAACUAGAAUCUGGCAGAGGGGGGUGGAAUUCCACGUGUAGCAGUGAAAUGCGUAGAGAUGUGGAGGAACACCGAUGGCGAAGGCAGCCCCCUGGGCUAACACUGACGCUCAUGCACGAAAGCGUGGGGAGCAAACAGG